AAUCAACGCUGGCGGCGUGCCUCAGACAUGCAAGUCGAACGCGAAACCUUCCUUCGGGAGGGGAGUAGAGUGGCGCACGGGUGAGUAACACGUAGGUAAUCUACCUUUGGGUGGGGAAUAACAGCCGGAAACGGCUGCUAAUACCGCAUAAUGCAGCGGCUCGACAUCGAGACAGUUGUUAAAGCGGGGGAUCGUAAGACCUCGCGCCUAAAGAGGAGCCUGCGGCAGAUAGCUAGUUGGUAAGGUAACGGCUUACCAAGGCGACGAUCUGUAGCCGGCCUGAGAGGGCGGUCGGCCACACUGACACUGACAUACGGGUCAGACUCCUACGGGAGGCAGCAGUCGGGAAUUUUGGGCAAUGGGCGAAAGCCUGACCCAGCAACGCCGCGUGAAGGAUGAAAUCCCUCGGGAUGUAAACUUCGCAAGAACGGGAAGAAUAAGUAGAAGCGAAUACCUUCUAUGAUG
rnacentral:rRNA from 1 species